ensembl:lncRNA
AUGAUCUGCAAAACGUUAGAGUGUGUUGUCAGAAUGAAGAAGGCUUUGCAGGAUGCAAAGAAUCUGGAUGAUUCGUGGAUAAAAGAAGAAAGUGACACUAUCGAACUUAUUGAUUUGAGUAACAGAAUGUUAUUGUUACAAAAAGUAGUUCAUCGAAUUGAUUUGAAUUGUAUUCAUUAUAUAAAUGAUUAUAAUUAUUUUCUUAAAAAUAUUUUUUUUCCUGUCAAUCAAACUCUGUCUUCUAAAAUGUCAUAUUUUAUAACCCACUUUAAAAUCAAUGAAAAGGUUGAUUUAAAAAGUCAAUAUGCAUUUGCAGUGAUUGAACUUAAAACAGGAGAACGUAUAUUAAUCGGACCCUUUAAGCCAAAAAAUGUUGGUCAGACUGGUAAAUAUCCCGAUAUACAUCACAGCGAGCAUCAAUGCAUAAAUAAUUUAAAACAAGAAAUUAAGGAUAUGAAGAAGAAGAAGAGAAUAAUAAAAGCUAUUUAUAUAUUUACUAAAUAUAGUCCCUGUUUAGGCAUAAAGGGAAAGUUGUGUCCUUGCAUGACCCAGCUAGCUAAUUUCUCUAAAGAUAUGUAUAAUGAAUUUAAUAUAGAUAUUUACAUUACUUUCCAGGACAUUUAUGGUGCGACAGGAAGUACAGCACAAACAAUAAAGAGAGAUGAUGAGAUGUUUCCAUCUACAGACUAGAGACACUGUCAGGCUGCUGAUUCUCUAUUGUAACACUUGUUAAACACCUGUUCAAUGCCAACAAACACACGACUCCUGUAUAUCUAUUCAAUAAAUCUGUUUACUUUCACUUUGUCCA